rnacentral:rRNA from 1 species
GACGAACGCUGGCGGCGUGCUUAACACAUGCAAGUCGAACGGUGAAGCGCCUUCCUUUUUGGUGGGUGUGGAUGAGUGGCGAACGGGUGAGUAACACGUGAGUAACCUGCCCCCUUCUUCUGGAUAACCGCAUGAAAGUGUGGCUAAUACGGGAUAUUCUGGGUCUGUCGCAUGAUGGGUCUGGGAAAGAUAUUGUUUCGGUGGGGGAUGGGCUCGCGGCCUAUCAGCUUGUUGGUGGGGUGAUGGCCUACCAAGGCGGUGACGGGUAGCCGGCCUGAGAGGGUGGACGGUCACACUGGGACUGAGACACGGCCCAGACUCCAACGGGAGGCAGCAGUGGGGAAUAUUGCACAAUGGGCGCGAGCCUGAUGCAGCGACGCCGCGUGAGGGAUGGAGGCCUUCGGGUUGUGAACCUCUUUCGCCAGUGAAGCAGGCCUGCCUCGUUUGUGGGUGGGUUGACGGUAGCUGGAUAAGAAGCGCCGGCUAACUACGUG